rnacentral:rRNA from 1 species
GGUUCGAUCCUGGUGAAGAUUGAACGCUGGCGGGAUGCUUUACACAUGCAAGUCGAACGGCGGCACGGACUUCGGUCUGGUGGCGAGUGGCGAACAGGUGAGUAAUGUGUCAGGUACGUGCCUAGUAGCGGGGGAUAACUGCGAAAGCGUAGCUAAUACCGCAUACGCCCUUCGGGGGAAAGCGGGGGACCUUCGGGCCUCGCACUAUUAGAGCGGCCGAUAUCGGAUUAGCUAGUUGGUGCGAUGCUGGCUCACCAAGGCGACGAUCCGUAGCUGGUUUGAGAGGACGACCAGCCACACUGGGACUGAGACACGGCCAGACUCCUACGGGAGGCAGCAGUGAAAUUUUUGGACAAUGAAACCUGAUCCAGCCAUCCCGCGUGUGCGAUGAAGGCCUUCGGGUUGUAAAGCACUUUUGGCAGGAAAGAAACGGCACGGGAUAAUACGUGCAGCUGACGAAACACCUGCAGAAUAAGUACCGGUAACUACGUGCCAGCAGCCGCGGUAAUACGUAAGGGUGCAGGCGUUAAUCGGAAUUACUGGGCGUAAAGCGUGCGCAGGCGGUUCGGAAGAAAGAUGUGAAAUCCCCAGAGCUUAACUUUGGAACUGCAUUUUUUUAACUACCGAGCUUCAAGUGUGUCAGAGGGAGGUGGAAUUCCGCGUGUAGCAGUGAAAUGCGUAGAUAUGCGGAGGAACACCGAUGGCGAAGGCAGCCUCUGGGAUAACACUGACCGCUCAUGCACAGCGUGGGGAGCAAACAGGGAUUAGAUACCCUGUUAGUCACGCCUAAACGAUGUCAACUAGCUGUUGGGACGGGCCUUGGUAGCGCAACUAACGCGUGAAGUUGACCGCCUGGGAAGUACGGUCGCAAGAUUAAAACUCAAAGGAAUUGACGGGGACCCGCACAAGCGGUGGAUGAUGUGGAUUAAUUCGAUGCAACGCGAAAAACCUUACCUACCCUUGACAUGUCUGGAAUCCCGAAAGAGAUUUGGGAGUGCUCGCAAGAGAACCGGAACACAGGUGCUGCAUGGCUGUCGUCAGCUCGUGUCGUGAGAUGUUGGGUUAAGUCCCGCAACGAGCGCAACCCUUGUCAUUAGUUGCUACGAAGGGCACUCUAAUGAGACUGCCGGUGACAAACCGGAGGAAGGUGGGGAUGACGUCAGACCUCAUGGCCCUUAUGGGUAGGGCUUCACACGUCAUACAAUGGUCGGGACAGAGGGUCGCCAACCCCGCGAGGAGCCAAUCAGAAACCCGAUCGUAGUCCGGAUCGCAGUCUGCAACUCGACUGCGUGAAGUCGGAUCGCUAGUAAUCGCGGAUCCAUAUGUCGCAGUGAAUACGUCCCGGGUCUUGUACACACCGCCCGUCACACCAUGGGAAUUGGGUUUACCAGAAGUAGUUAGCCUAACCGUAAGGAGGGCGAUUACCACGGUAGGAUUCAUGACUGGGGUGAA